AGAUCCUUGUGUACAUGAGGCCUUCUGAAGAAUAACUUUGUGUGGUGCCUUCUCACAGUGAGGCCUGAGUUUGUCCUAACAUCUGGAAGAAGUGACAAGCUGCAGUCACCAAAGUUGAUAACCCGGUUUUGCCAGUGGGGUGCUUGAGGCUGAUGAGAAGUUUAAGGCUCCCAUGUAGACAGCCCUCAGAUUAAGCCACUGUAGGAUGCUGUAGUCAUCCAAGAAUGUGGAGAGAUCCUCAGGCACCGGUGAGGUUACUUCUCCUUCUCUGUUUGUCUAGCAUUUCUUCGUCCCUGCAGUGUGUUGUGGGUAUGGAUGUGUACCAG
ensembl:lncRNA